rnacentral:rRNA from 1 species
UCCAGACUCCUACGGGAGGCAGCAGUGGGGAAUAUUGGGCAAUGGGCGCAAGCCUGACCCAGCAACGCCGCGUGAAGGAAGAAGGCUUUCGGGUUGUAAACUUCUUUUGUCAGGGAAGAGUAGAAGACGGUACCUGACGAAUAAGCCACGGCUAACUAUGUGCCAGCAGCCGCGGUAAUACGUAGGUGGCAAGCGUUGUCCGGAUUUACUGGGUGUAAAGGGCGUGUAGCCGGGUUGACAAGUCAGAUGUGAGAUCCUGCGGCUUAACCGCAGAACUGCAUUUGAAACUGUUGAUCUUGAGUACUAGAGAGGCAGACGGAAUUCCUAGUGUAGCGGUGAAAUGCGUAGAUAUUAGGAGGAACACCAGUGGCGAAGGCGGUCUGCUGGACAGCAACUGACGGUGAGGCGCGAAAGCGUGGGGAGCAAACAGGAUUAGAUACCCCCGUA